GAUGAACGCUGGCGGCGUGCCUAAUACAUGCAAGUCGAGCGAACGGACGAGAAGCUUGCUUCUCUGAUGUUAGCGGCGGACGGGUGAGUAACACGUGGAUAACCUACCUAUAAGACUGGGAUAACUUCGGGAAACCGGAGCUAAUACCGGAUAAUAUUUUGAACCGCAUGGUUCAAAAGUGAAAGACGGUCUUGCUGUCACUUAUAGAUGGAUCCGCGCUGCAUUAGCUAGUUGGUAAGGUAACGGCUUACCAAGGCAACGAUGCAUAGCCGACCUGAGAGCGUGGUCGGCCACACUGGAACGUAGACACGGUCCAGACUCCUACUGGAGGAAGCAGUACGGAAGCUUCCUCAAUAGGGGAAAGCCUGGCGUAGCCACGCCGCGUGUGUGAAGAAGGUCUUCGGAUCUUAAAACUCUGUUAUUAGGGAAGAACAGAUGUGUACGUCACUGUGCACACCUUGACGGUACCUUAUCAAAAAGCCACGGCUAACUACGUG
rnacentral:rRNA from 1 species